GCAUGAUAGCGCGGGAUGUGUGUUGUUUCUUCGCCUCUCUGCACUGCAAGACCCGGAGGUAACAGCAGUGUCGACGCGGGACUCAAGCCGAGAAACAGUGACACACUGACGGUUGAUAAGAGACGCGUCGUUGUGGUUGAGAAACCAACAAUGGAAGAUAACCUGAAUCGGAGGGAGGCAGCUCGCCCGCCGAGGAGGGCGUCUGCCGCUGCGGUGGAUGUUGGAGCUAACGAUAGCCUGCAAGAUGGCGAGGUUUACCCGGCCUGGGAAAGUCAAGCCGGUCCGGAGAGACUCGGUGCUGCUGCCGGGAGGGCGGAGCGGAGGAGCUGUGCACCGCUGGCGGUCCACCACCGGCACAUGCCGAUGGGGCUCCUCAAUAUACCCAUACCGAGGAAAAAGGAAAACAGAGCCCUUUUCCAGGAGGC